CAAGGUCAAGGCCCUGGAGGUGGCGGUGACCUGCCGGACAUGUGACUAAGGUCAGAGAAGGGGCCAUCCUUAGCAAGGGCUGCUCCAGCUGAGGGGGUGGGGAGUGCGGGCUGGGGGCAGCGAUGGGGAACAGAACACACAGGUGCAGGUGAGCCAGACGCUCACAAUGAGGCUUGAUGGGGUCGUGGAAGCCCAGAGUGCCCCCUCCCCCGCAAGACCCCAGUCCAGAAGGAGGAGUGUGCAGCAGGGCCUUGCUCUUGAGAGUUCACCUCCCCUUUUUUGUUGAGAAGUGAGCAGAGAUGGGGGGUGCGUGGGUGGGGGGCCUGAGAUGAGGGAAGGCUUUGGGGCAGGAGACGUUCAGGCCGGUUGCAGGCUGCUGUGUCCACUGUAGGCUGGGAAAGACCCAGGAGAGGUGGGAAGGUGGUGAUGCUGGCGGGAGAGGCCAAGUGAUGGAGCGGGCCUUGGAGAAGGCGCCAGGAGGUGCUUGUCCUUUCUGACAGAGGAGCAUCCAUUAGACGAAUCCUACGGAGACGUGAGACAAGGCCAUCAACUGCCCCUGGGGUGGGAAAAGGCGGGGUGUGAGCCAGGACUUGGGGCUGGGUGGGAAGCCCAGCAGGACCGGGAAGGUGGAACCUGGCGAGGGUCUGUGCCUCCCACCCACCGGGUGCUCAGUGAAGGAUGGCUGCACGCUGUCACUGGGUCCCGGGGAAUCUGAGAGCGGGGCUGGCCACCAAGCUGGAGGGGCGGGGGUGUCGGCUUCCCACCUCCCUCUGCCAGAGGGGCCCCAGAGCACAAGGUGAACCCCAGCUCUGCUCCUUUCUGGCUCAAAGGGGCCAAGGCUGGAGCCACGCUCAGGGGACAUGAGAGUGAAGAGGUUUUUUUCUAGGAGGAAAAGCCCAGGCAAGAGUUGGAUAGGAGAACAAAGGUAUUUGGGGGAAUGCAGAGAUGAAAAGGUGUGUCCAGCUUUCAGAAGUUAAGAAUCUGCCUUCCAGUGUGGGGCACUUGGAUUUGAUUCCUGGUCAGGAACUAAGAUCUCACAUGCCUGGGGCAACUAAACCCGCAUGUGCAGGCACGGGCAGCAACAGAAGACCAAAUACCGCAGCAAAAGAUCCCACGAGCCGUGACUAAGAAGCCAUGCAGCCGUGCGUGUAUAUAUAUAUAUAUAUAUAUAUAUUUUUUUUUUUUUUUAAAUAGCUAGUGGACCAACUGUGGAGGAAGGGGGAUAAGGGACUCUGGGGGAGCUCAGGGAUGGCUCUGGGGAGGUGGUGAUGUUUCUUUCAGCCAGGCCUUGAAUGUGGGCACAGAUGGAGGGCGUUCUGGUGGGGCCCUGCUGUGCACUGAGGUGUGGCAGUUGGGCAGCGCUGGAAGGGCAGGUGGGGGAGGCCCCUGGGGGCUCCAAGUCACCUUUGCGAGGCUCCCAAAGCCCUGUAUACAUCCUCAAGACGUGCAGCACCGCUGUGUUUAAUUUUUUGCAGGGUGUACGGUUACCGUCUGUUUUCUCCACUAGAUGACAAGCCGCAGGAUGACAGGGACCAGCUCGGGCUGGACCCUAGUGCCGUCGAAGACUGGCGCACACAGCAGGUAGUGGCAAACCCAGAGCAGCGAUCAUGGAG
ensembl:lncRNA